CCAAUGGUCGGUUCCCGGGUACUACUGGGCGUAAGCGCACGCAGGUGGUCUGUCAAGUCGGAUGUGAAAUCCCCGGGCUCAAC
rnacentral:rRNA from 1 species